CCUACGGGGGGCAGCAGUGGGGAAUAUUGGACAAUGGGCGAAAGCCUGAUCCAGCCAUGCCGCGUGUGUGAAGAAGGCCUUCGGGUUGUAAAGCACUUUCAGUGGGGAAGAAAGUCUUGGGGCUAAUACCCUCGAGGAAGGACAUCACCCACAGAAGAAGCACCGGCUAACUCCGUGCCAGCAGCCGCGGUAAUACGGAGGGUGCGAGCGUUAAUCGGAAUUACUGGGCGUAAAGCGCGCGUAGGCGGUCUGAUAAGCCGGUUGUGAAAGCCCCGGGCUCAACCUGGGAACGGCAUCCGGAACUGUCAGGCUAGAGUGCAGGAGAGGAAGGUAGAAUUCCCGGUGUAGCGGUGAAAUGCGUAGAGAUCGGGAGGAAUACCAGUGGCGAAGGCGGCCUUCUGGACUGACACUGACGCUGAGGUGCGAAAGCGUGGGUAGCAAACAGGAUUAGAUACCCGAGUAGUC
rnacentral:rRNA from 1 species